UACAGAGGGUGCAAGCGUUAAUCGGAAUUACUGGGCGUAAAGCGCGCGUAGGUGGUUCGUUAAGUUGGAUGUGAAAUCCCCGGGCUCAACCUGGGAACUGCAUUCAAAACUGUCGAGCUAGAGUAUGGUAGAGGGUGGUGGAAUUUCCUGUGUAGCGGUGAAAUGCGUAGAUAUAGGAAGGAACACCAGUGGCGAAGGCGACCACCUGGACUGAUACUGACACUGGGGUGCGAAAGCGUGGGGAGCAAACAGG
rnacentral:rRNA from 1 species